rnacentral:rRNA from 1 species
UCGGGAAUUUUGGGCAAUGGGCGAAAGCCUGACCCAGCAACGCCGCGUGAAGGAUGAAGUCUCUCGGGAUGUAAACUUCGUAAGAAUAGGAAGAAUAAAUGACGGUACUAUUUAUAAGGUCCGGCUAACUACGUGCCAGCAGCCGCGGUAAUACGUAGGGACCAAGCGUUGUUCGGAUUUACUGGGCGUAAAGGGCGCGUAGGCGGCAAUUCAAGUCAUCUGUGAAAUCUCCGGGCUUAACUCGGAACGGUCAGAUGAUACUGCUUUGCUAGAGUGCAGAAGGGGCAAUCGGAAUUCUUGGUGUAGCGGUGAAAUGCGUAGAUAUCAAGAGGAACACCUGAGGUGAAGACGGGUUGCUGGGCUGACACUGACGCUGAGGUGCGAAAGCGUGGGGAGCAAACAGGAUUAGAUACCCCAGUAGUCCCUGAGCGGGCUGGCAAGGCGCAU